rnacentral:rRNA from 1 species
CCUACGGGAGGCAGCAGUGGGGAAUAUUGGGCAAUGGGCGCAAGCCUGACCCAGCAACGCCGCGUGAAGGAAGAAGGCUUUCGGCUUGUAAACUUCUUUUGACAGGGAAGACCAGAAGACGGUACCUGUCGAAUAAGCCAUGGCUAACUACGUGCCAGCUGCCGCCGUCAUACGUAGGUGGCAAGCGUUAUCCGGAUGUACUGGGUGUUAAGGCCGUGUCGGCGGGCUGACAAGUCAGAUGUGAAAUCCGGGGGCUCAAACCCCGUGCUGCGGUUGAACCUGUUGGACUUGAGUAUCGGAGAGGGAGGCGGAAUGCCUGGUGUAGCGGUGAAAUGCGUAGAUAUUAGGCAGAACACCAGUGGCGAAGGCGGCCUACCGGAGGACAACUGACGGUGAGGCGCGAAAGCGUGGGUAGCGAACAGGAUUAGAUACCCGGGUAGUC